rnacentral:rRNA from 1 species
CCAGCUCCAAUAGCGUAUAUUGAAGUUGUUGCAGUUAAAAAGCUCGUAGUUGGAGUUCAGAGUGAGCUCAGCCGGUCGGCCUCAUGGGUCAGAACUGGUCGACUCUCUCUUGUUUGUGGAUCCCGCCCGGAGUUAACUCUUCGGGAUGUGGAGUUCACAUCGUUUACCUUGAAAAAAUUAGAGUGUUCAAAGCAGGCGUUUGCUUGAAUAUAUUAGCAUGGAAUAAUGGAAUAGGACCCUGGUUCUAUUUUGUUGGUUUUGAGAACCAGAGUAAUGAUUAAUAGGGAUAGUUGGGGGCAUUCAUAUUUCAUUGUCAGAGGUGAAAUUCUUGGAUUUAUGAAAGAUGAACUUCUGCGAAAGCAUUUGCCAAGGAUGUUUUCAUUAAUCAAGAACGAAAGUUAGGGGAUCGAAGACGAUCAGAUACCGUCGUAGUCUUAACCAUAAACUAUGCCGACUAGGGAUUGGGCGUGGUUUGUUCAUUGACCCGCUCAGCACCUUACGAGAAAUCAAAGUCUUUGGGUUCCCGGGGGAGUAUGGUCGCAAGGCUGAAACUUAAAGGAAUUGACGGAGGGGCACCACCAGGAGUGGAGCCUGCGGCUUAAUUCGACUCAAC